AGCUCCAAUAGCGUAUAUUAAAGUUGUUGCGGUUAAAAAGCUCGUAGUUGGAUUUCUGCCGAGGAUGACCGGUCCGCCCUGUGGGUGUGCAUCUGGCUCAGCCUUGGCAUCUUCCUGAAGAACGUAGCUGCACUUGACUGUGUGGUGCGGUAUUUAGGACAUUUACUUUGAGGAAAUUAGAGUCUUUCAAGCAAGCGCACGCUUUGAAUACAUUAGCAUGGAAUAAUAAGAUAGGACCUCGGUUCUAUUUUGUUGGUUUCUAGAGCUGAGGUAAUGAUUGAUAGGGAUAGUUGGGGGCAUUCGUAUUUAACUGUCAGAGGUGAAAUUCUUGGAUUUGUUAAAGACAAACUAUUGCGAAAGCAUUUGCCAAGGAUGUUUUCU
rnacentral:rRNA from 1 species